rnacentral:rRNA from 1 species
AGAAUCAACGCUGGCGGCGUGCCUAACACAUGCAAGUCGAACGCGAAGACCCCGCAAGGGGUUGGUAGCGUGGCAAACGGGUGAGUAACGCGUGGGCGACCUACCUCAGAGUGGGGGGAUAACCUUCCGAAAGGGAGGCUAAUACCGCAUGACAUCCCGUGUUUAGAUACACGGUGAUCAAAGCCGGGGAUCGCAAGACCUGGCGCUUGGAGAGGGGCCCGCGUCCGAUUAGCUAGUUGGUGGGGUAACGCUCACCAAGGCUCCGAUCGGUA